rnacentral:tRNA from 2 species
GCUCGGGUAGCUCAGUGGAUAGAGCAGUAGUUUCCUAAACUAUUGGUCGCAGGUUCAACUCCUGUCCCGAGUACCA